rnacentral:rRNA from 1 species
AACGAACGCUGGCGGCAUGCCUAACACAUGCAAGUCGAACGAGACCUUCGGGUCUAGUGGCGCACGGGUGCGUAACGCGUGGGAACCUGCCCUUAGGUUCGGAAUAACUCCCCGACAGGGGUGCUAAUACCGGAUAAUUUCUUCUGACCAAAGAUUUAUCGCCUUUGGAUGGGCCCGCGUUGGAUUAGCUAGUUGGUAGGGUAAAAGCCUACCACGGCGACGCUCCAUAGCUGGUCUGAGAGGAUGAUCAGCCACACUGGGACUGAGACACGGCCCAGACUCCUACGGGAGGCAGCAGUGGGGAAUAUUGGAAAAUGGGCGAAAGGAUGAUCCAGCAAGGCCGCGUGAGUGAUGAAGGCCUUAGGGUUGUAAAGCUCGUUUACCCGGGAUGAUAAUGACAGUACCGGGAGAAUAAGCGCCGGCUAACUCCGUG